GCCAGCAUGGAGUAGUGGUUUGAGUGUUGGACUAUGACUCUUGAGACCAGGGUUCGAAUCUCAGCUUUGCCA